CUGCAUUGCUACUCCCAUUGAAGCUUAGCUUAGUACUACUCCUGUUAGUCCUCCAAUUGUAAAUGAGCCACAAAUUCUAGUCCAAUGGCACUGAUACUCUAUAUCGAAUUGAUCCUCUGUAGGCUAUUGCUCAUACUCUUUGGCUGAUUUACAGACCUACGCUAAAAGAGUUUACCUUUAAUUACUCAAAGGAGUGGACUAUGUCUUAGAUCACUAUAUAUUAAUAUAAUAUUUAGGUUGACCUCGGGCGUACGUAUAGUCUCUACGCUUUUACAUUAUUCGUUUACUCUAAUGACUUAGUUUGACGCUCCCCACCCGCUUUCGAUGGGACAUGCCUGAAGGAAGACCAGCUCCAGGACACCGGCUUCCUACUCGAUCGCUCCAGCAGUGUUCGAAGAGCAGCACGCCACGAGCGAGAGCGAUGUAGGAUUUGGGCAUCCAGGUGGUUGGAUACAAGGGGGCCUCCCAGAGUUUGGCGAAUUUGAUCGUGUAUGUAGCUUUCAGGCGGGCUUGUCCCAAGGGCCUGAAAAAGGAGUCAAUCGUCCUCUAAAGCUCCCGUAUCAGCUGCAAGUCCCUUUUUUGUAUUUGAAAAUUGACGACGAGCUACCCGCGCGCAUCGCGCUGGUGCACCCAUGCCACGAAGGGUAAGUUUGAUCCUCAAUAUGUGUAUCAUAUAGCUGUGCUGAAUCGUCGUUUUUCACAGCUGCUGAGAAGGCCACCAAGAAGAAGUAAAUACUUCUGUAAUGACCACUUCUACAGCUAAUAUGCAUCUGUGUUGGCCGUGU